rnacentral:lncRNA from 1 species
UCAUAUUCACAUAUCCCAAAAUUAAACAUAUUAACUAGACUAUACAUGCCAUGGGUUCAAAUUCAAAUUUACAAAAUACCAAAGACGGUCGAUAGUGUGAUAGACUAUGCUGACGAUCCCCGAGCUCGUAACGCGACUCCAAAAUCUAUAAAACAGAGGUAAACAAAUACAAACACACAUUAAGCUAUUAAAGCUUAGUAAGUCAUAAGCAAAAAUUCAUAUAUA